GGCCUGUUUCAUGCAAGUCGAGCGAUGGAUUUGAGAUNGCGGCGGACGGGUGAGUAACACGUGGGUAACCUGCCCAUAAGACUGGGAUAACUCCGGGAAACCGGGGCUAUACCGGAUAAUAUUUUGAACUGCAUGGUUCGAAAUUGAAAGGCGGCUUCGGCUGUCGCUUAUGGAUGGACCCGCGUCGCAUUAGCUAGUUGGUGAGGUAACGGCUCACCAAGGCAACGAUGCGUAGCCGACCUGAGAGGGUGAUCGGCCACACUGGGACUGAGACACGGCCCAGACUCCUACGGGGAGGCAGCAGUAGGGAAUCUUCCGCAAUGGACGAAAGUCUGACGGAGCAACGCCGCGUGAGUGAUGAAGGCUUUCGGGUCGUAAAACUCUGUUGUUAGGGAAGAACAAGUGCUAGUUGAAUAAGCUGGCACCUUGACGGUACCUAACCAGAAAGCCACGGCGUAACUACGUGCCAGCAGCCGCGGGGAAAUACCGUAAGGUUGGCAAAGGCGUUAUCCCGGAAUUCAUUUGGGNCGUUAAAGCGCGCCGCAGGUGGUUUCUUAAGUCUGAUGUGAAAGCCCACGGGGUCA
rnacentral:rRNA from 1 species